AUGGAAUCCGCAAAAUCUGACCUAAUUCCACAAUCUUCUACUGUUGACCCCUGCUCAGAUUGGGAUCUGCCGUUUACCGACGAAGAACUUCAAUCAAUUGAAGAUGUAUUUGAAUCUGCCGCUUCUUCUUCUUCCUCAUCUCGGAAAUCUGGUGCCGAUUGCGACGGAGAUCGUCCGAGAACUCGACGGAGGUUGCCGGAUUCUCUGUUUAAUUUUGGAGAACAAUCCACGUUGUUAUCUGACAAAUCAUCAAGUGAAUGUAACCCAAUUGGUGCAUCAAGUUCAUUUUCUUUAUUGCCUUGCCGUACAAACCGGUUCUCUAGCCCGUGUGGCUCUUCUUAUCGUGAUAAGUUAAAGAUGAGAUAUCCUGCAAUGUCUUUUAAAGGUCAUAUUGUGUACAGCAGAACAUUUUCAGAGGUGGAGAAAGCUGCAAAUGAGCUGUUAACUUUUGUUGAAACUAAGAAUAGGGAUGGGGGUCAUGCUGUUUUUGGAUUUGACAUCGAGUGGAGACCAACAUUCAAGAAAGGUGUCAAACAAGGGAAGGCGGCAGUACUACAAAUAUGUGCUGGUGCUGCCCGUUGUCAUGUAAUGCAUAUUAUUCAUUCUGGAUUCCCCGAAAAUUUGAAGUCUCUUCUACGGGAUCCUAGAUCUGUAAAGGUCGGAGUUGGCAUUGCUGGCGAUGCUCGUAAGAUCUUCAAUGAUCAUAAUGCAUCUGUAGAAGCUUUAGAAGAUCUAUCAAGCUUAGCCAAUCAAAAGCUUGGUGGUGAGCCCAAGAGCUGGGGUCUAGCGUCAUUAACCGAGACACUUACAUGCAAACAGGUUCCAAAGCCAUCCAAAAUUAGAUUAGGAAACUGGGAGGCUAAUCCUUUGUCAAAAGAACAGCUGAAAUAUGCAGCCACAGAUGCAUUUGUUUCUUGGCACUUGUUUGAGGUUCUCAACAGCUUACCCGAUGCCAAGAUUCAUACAAAUGAGGUGGUGGAGGCCAUGGCAGCUUCUUGAUUUUGCUGAUAGAUAUCAAGCUUUUUACAGUUCAUUGCUGCAAGCACUUGAUGGGAGAUUGUUGCUGGAUGUUCAAAUAGAAAAAGCAAAAAGGUUGGAGAUACGGAAGUAGAUCUCGACCGUCAAAUGGAUUUGAUCCAACGAAUGUGAUCAAAGAGGUGCUUAAGACUUUAGUUUUAAAACUAAAAAGACCCCCUUCUCCCUAUUUUAAAUCGAAAAUAGGUGAAAUAUAAUUAGUCAAAUAAAUUAUACCAUAAAAACACGA